rnacentral:rRNA from 1 species
CACGUAGGGCGCAAGCGUUGUCCGGAAUUAUUGGGCGUAAAGAGCUCGUAGGUGGUUUGUUACGUCUGCUGUGAAAACCUAGGGCUUAACCCCGGACUUGCAGUGGGUACGGGCAGACUAGAGUGUGGUAGGGGAGACUGGAAUUCCUGGUGUAGCGGUGAAAUGCGCAGAUAUCAGGAGGAACACCGAUGGCGAAGGCAGGUCUCUGGGCCACUACUGACGCUGAGAAGCGAAAGCAUGGGGAGCGAACAGG